CCUACGGGAGGCAGCAGUAGGGAAUCUUCGGCAAUGGGGGCAACCCUGACCGAGCAACGCCGCGUGAGUGAAGAAGGUUUUCGGAUCGUAAAGCUCUGUUGUAAGAGAAGAACGAGUGUGAGAGUGGAAAGUUCACACUGUGACGGUAACUUACCAGAAAGGGACGGCUAACUACGUGCCAGCAGCCGCGGUAAUACGUAGGUCCCGAGCGUUGUCCGGAUUUAUUGGGCGUAAAGCGAGCGCAGGCGGUUAGAUAAGUCUGAAGUUAAAGGCUGUGGCUUAACUAUAGUACGCUUUGGAAACUGUUUAACUUGAGUGCAAGAGUGGAGAGUGGAAUUCCAUGUGUAGCGGUGAAAUGCGUAGAUAUAUGGAGGAACACCGGUGGCGAAAGCGGCUCUCUGGCUUGUAACUGACACUGAGGCGCGAAAGCGUGGGGAGCAAACAGGAUUAGAUACCCUGGUAGUCCACGCCGUAAACGAUGAGUGCUAAGUGUUGGUCUCAUAAGAGAUCAGUGCUGCAGCUAACGCAUUAAGCACUCCGCCUGGGGAGUACGACCGCAAGGUUGAAACUCAAAGGAAUUGACGG
rnacentral:rRNA from 1 species